rnacentral:rRNA from 1 species
GACGAACGCUGGCGGCGUGCUUAAUACAUGCAAGUCAACUGAACUUAAGAUAGCAAUAUUUUAAGGGAGGUGGCGCACGGGUGAGUAACACGUAGGUAAUCUGCCUUUAGGUCUGACACAACCCCGAGAAAUCGGGGCUAAUAUCAGAUGAUGCAGCGGCUCGACAUCGAGACAGUUGUUAAACCUUCGGGGCCUAAAGAUGAGCCUGCGUCUGAUUAGCUGGUUGGCGGGGUAACGGCCCACCAAGGCAACGAUCAGUAGCUGGUCUGAGAGGAUGAUCAGCCACACUGGAACUGAGACACGGUCCAGACUCCUACGGGAGGCAGCAGUAAGGAAUAUUGCUCAAUGGCCGAAAGGCUGAAGCAGCAACGCCGCGUGGAGGAUGAAAUACUUUUGUAUGUAAACUCCUGUGAGAAGGGAAAAUAUGCAGAUUUUCUGCGUUGAUUGUACCUUCAGAGGAAGCCCCGGCUAACUACGUGCCAGCAGCCG